rnacentral:ncRNA from 1 species
AUAACUGAACUUAAGCAUAUCAAUAAGCGGAGGAAAAGAAACCAACCGGGAUUGCCUCAGUAACGGCGAGUGAAGGUA